CGGGGAUCGGACUAGCCUUAGA
rnacentral:miRNA from 1 species